GAAGUUUAGCGCAGUUGGUAGAGCACCUGCCUUACAAGCAGGCGGUCGUAGGUUCGAGUCCUACAACUUCC
rnacentral:tRNA from 1 species